UACUGUGGCCAUAGCACCUUGUCAGUGCUUCAUCUCCUCAGAUAAGAAGAGUUGGGCCUGGUUAGUACUUGGAUGAGAGAUCACUGGAAAUAACAGGUCACAGCGGAGA
rnacentral:rRNA from 1 species